AGAGACUACUGAUGGAGAUGCUCU
rnacentral:siRNA from 1 species